rnacentral:rRNA from 1 species
GAGCGCCGUAGCAAUACGGAGCGGCAGACGGGAGAGUAACACGUGGGAACGUGCCCUUCAGUUCGGAACAACCCAGGGAAACUUGGGCUAAUACCGGAUACGUCCGAAAGGAGAAAGAUUUAUCGCUGAAGGAUCGGCCCGCGUCUGAUUAGCUAGUUGGUGAGGUAACGGCUCACCAAGGCGACGAUCAGUAGCUGGUCUGAGAGGAUGAUCAGCCUCACUGGGACUGAGACACGGCCCAGACUCCUACGGGAGGCAGCAGUGGGGAAUAUUGGACAAUGGGCGCAAGCCUGAUCCAGCCAUGCCGCGUGGAUGAUGAAGGCCCUAGGGUUGUAAAGUCCUUUCGGCGGGGAAGAUAAUGACGGUACCCGCAGAAGAAGCCCCGGCUAACUUCGUGCCAGCAGCCGCGGUAAUACGAAGGGGGCUAGCGUUGCUCGGAAUCACUGGGCGUAAAGCGCACGUAGGCGGCUUUUUAAGUCAGGGGUGAAAUCCUGGAGCUCAACUCCAGAACUGCCUUUGAUACUGAGAGGCUUGAGUCCGGGAGAGGUGAGUGGAACUGCGAGUGUAGAGGUGAAAUUCGUAGAUAUUCGCAAGAACACCGGUGGCGAAGGCGGCUCACUGGCCCGGUACUGACGCUGAGGUGCGAAAGCGUGGGGA